ensembl:processed_transcript
GAGAUUUCAGAGGCAUAAGUGCCUUCAUGAAUCAUUAAGUGUGGGAGGCAGAGACAUGACUCUGAGUGUUCAUGCCUGCCUCACGGGGGCCACGGUGGUGCUGCCACCAGAUAAUGAACCAUCAAGAAGAGAUGAAGUUUGGAAGGAGGAUUCUUAGAUCAGGAUUCAUGAUAGUGUCGUAAGUGAAUUGAAGGUACUCACUACGGGCUACACUAAUCUACCACCCGGAAAAUAUUUUUCUCCAGGGAUCGCACAGAGGUACUGAGAGUAAAUAAGAUGAUUUAAGAACUACGAAGAAGCAAGCAAUGACCUAACUGAAAGACCAUAAUCCCAAUGCUAGUUGGGUCACAGAAACUGAGUGGAAAGUGGAGAAAAGAAAAGGAAAUUCUAAGUUCGUGGAAAGAAGUGAAAGAAUGAUAAGGGUUGGGGUGAAGAUGGGGCAAUAUGUUAAAAAUACAUUGCAUGAAGUUCUGGAAGACUCAACAAACAUAUUUUGAAUAUGUUGAAUUACUCAGCGGUCAACGAGUCCUCACCUACUUCAGCUACUUGUAUGAUUAUUAGAAAUGUUGCUGUUUCAAUAUAUUAUCAAACAUGCUCCCGAACAGGAAUGAAUUAAUUUAUGCCUAAUAAACAUGCUAUUUUCACAAAGAAAUGCAAUUCACUUUGAGAAAUUAGUACAAAACUUACCAAACCAUUUUAAAUCCAAUUUGUCUUACAUUGAUAGAGUACACUUGAAUUUAUCUCUGCAACUAGAAUACCAGCUAUCAUUUUGUCUAAAAAAAAAAAACCGAACCUACUUCAUUACCUUUUUGAAUGCCAUUUGUAAGUUGUGCAUCUAAAAGCUUUGCAGACUGUGUGUGUGAGUUAAAAUAAUUUUCAAGAAUGUCUUACCAGAAGUUGUCUUCACUACUUCAGUUGUAUUCCUCAAUCCAACAAAGGAAAAUUGAUACAGCCUCCAUGAUCUUGUGUCACCCACUUCAACAGAACUGCGCUUCCAUUGAUAAACAAUUUCUUCACGAGGAUAUCCAUCUACCAUGAGAUGGGAAAACUCAGCCAGAGGUAGCAACCACCUUCUUUGAAUAACUUGUAAAUACCAAGGGAGAACAAAACUGAAAGUCAUAUGAGCACACUGGACUGGCCUUGUGGAAUUUGCCUCCCAGGAAAUUAACAAAAUAUAUAUCAAAUCCUGCUGGAAAAGACUGAAAGUAAGAAAGUCAAAACUGCCUUUUAAAAAUCUCGCUUUUAGUUGCAUGUAAUGUAAACAAUGAAGGAUAUUCUAAAUGUUGUAUUUGUACUUUAUAUCACUUUUGUAAGAUACAAAAGUAUCUAGUACAAAGUGAAAAUUAGAUAUGUAAAAUUAGAUAUUAGAUAUUGUAAUGAAGUAAAUUACAUAUGAUCAAUUCUGUCUUUUAAAAUUAACUACGGUCAUGACUAUUUUGAUUUUAGGAGUCUCUCUGACUCUAUUGAAGAGAAAUUAUGUUGAUGAAAAUGCUUGUUUAAAAUCCAUCAUUAACAUUUCAUUCAUUCAAAAAUAUCUAACUGCUAAACCGGAAAUAAGGCAGAGAUGGAUAAUCUAAUAUCGAUAUUGAACAAAUAGGAAUUCAUGUAGAAAAGUGAGGCCUGUUUGCUUUAGAAUAUCUGUGGAAGUUUUAAUAUUUAAUUGGUGGUAGAGUUGUCAAAAUCCCUUUGAUAUGUUGAAAAUAUCUUCUCUGAUGAAAAUAAUAAGUCAGGCUUUUACAGUGUUGACAUAUCAUACAUUUUUACAAAUAUUAUACCAACAAAACAGAGUUAAUGUGAAAUAUACUUUGUUUAAGAAUGUGUUAUAUAACAUUCUUCUGAGUCCCAUGAUGAAGGAUAUUGGAGGUAUAGUAUCAACCAUGUAUACGUUCUAUUGAGUCCUGGCCUGGCCUUACAGUCCACCUCAAUAGUCAGUCUGGACACAUUGUCUAUUUUUUAAGAGUUGCCCAUUCUAUCAAUUCUUCUUGUAAAGAUUGUUUUAAUUGGGACAGUUUGAAGUACAAUAAAAAAUGAUGUCAAAAUCAAUAGCAAAGCUCAGUGCCACUAUGCAAUUUCUCAGAUUCACUGCAUUAAUUGACAAGGCAAUUAGAGUGACUACAGGUGGCAGGGCACAAUCUGGGGAGAAUAUUACUUACAACUGGAGAACUCCAGGGGGCAGGAGUGUUCAUCCAUUGGGAAGUUGUGUAAUUGCAACUGGCACUCAGCAUCAAUUGUUAGCCUAAUUAGAACAACAAUAAACAUACAGAGAAAAAAUGCUAACAUCAUUUUUACAGUGCACACUGACAUCCUUUCUAGAACAAUCUUACACUGUGAUUGAUAAAACAAAGUGAUCCUCUAUGAAUAAAAUUCAAGUUCUAGGCAAGAAUUAUUUCCGAGCAUAUUUUAUUUACAUAGCAGACAGAACCACCCAAUUCACCUCAACUCCAUUAAUUCAAAAUAUGUGGAUACUUGUUUUAUAUUUUAUCUUAUUUAUUUUUGCAAAUUAGCUGCACACAGGAGAUUUCUCAGUGAAUAUUUUUAACUUAUUUAAGAGAACAAACUGUUUUAGGAACUUAAGCUCGUUUAAUGUUUGCAUCAAAUGAAUGCUGACAGUUCUCUGAUCUUAUCAGCUAAUUAACACGAAGCCUUCUGUUGGCAAGAACUUGCUGUUUUUAAAUUGCCAUAGCUGGGUUUUAAAAUACCACUGCUGCACAAGGGACUGGUAUGCACUUUUACAACAGAGAUAGAUAGAUAGAUAGAUAGAUAGAUAGAUAGAUAGAUAGAUAGAUAGAUAGAUAGAUAGAUAGAUUGAAAGCAAGCUACAUUGAUAAAACAAAAUAGAGACUGCAACAUCAGCCACAUGCACAUAUAUGAACUAGUUUUCCUUUUANNNNNNNNNNNNNNNNNNNNNNNNNNNNUCUCCAAAUAAUAUCAUAUCUACCUUUAUUUCCUUUUAUUUUCUUUGUAAUGUUAUCUUUAUUGUAUAUAUGUGUGUGCAUAUGGAGAAUAAAAGUUAACAUUAAAUGAAAAAAAAAGAAAGCAAGCUACGUAGAUAGAUAAAAUUAUUUUCCUAUAUAAGAUGUUAUAGGAGAGGAUAUCUAAAAGUUAACAAGAGAUGCUAAAUGCACAUACAAUGAGACAAUGAGAAUGACUUCACCAUUGAGUCUCAGUUUAAACAAAGUUUAAAACCUCAAGAUGUGCAGUUUUAAGCCCUGGACUGUGACUCAAGAAGGGAGUUUAAAUCUGAAGGAUUAUAGAUGUUCUGACUACCUUUGGAAAGGCAUAGAAAAAAAAUAGAAUCAAACUGUAAUGGUGAUGAUUGGUGGCUUUCAGAAUGUUCAUGUUUGUCAGCUACAUUUCUUACAAGCUACAAUACCACUGCUUAAGUGAUAGAAAUGUUAUUUUACAAAAAUUAAAUUUAAAGGAUUUUCUAAUUAGCAUGACUUUUCAUUGAGGACAUGUUAGAUGUUUUGUGGUACAAGAGAGCAAUGAAUAAUCUUUAUGUGUAUUUUCAAUGGCCUAUGAAGCCUUGAUGAACUGAACUACUUCUGUACUAAAUGCUGUGAUGGCUCCGUUGCACUGAAAUGUAUUCAAGGUCACAGGGACCAGGAACACGGUUAUGAUUUGUACUUAGACUCUUCACUCUUCGUCACAGCAGGAGACUUUAAUCACUGUUUCUACGAUCAUUCUUCAAAGAAUAGUUUGGCUUUACUCCCAAAUGAGAUUUUAAUUAAAUCUGGUUUUUAUUAGAAUUAUCUCUCAAAAUAAAUUGAUAUUCUUCUUAUUAAGAUAAUACAGAUAGAUUGCAGAUAUAAGUAUAGAUUCAGAAGUAUUAAUAGCUCUACAAAUACAUGCACACAUAUAUUCAGACAUUUAUAGCUUAGAUAAGCAACUAAAUUAAAAAUCAUCUUUCUUUAUAAAUACAUACAUUGUUUCAAGUCUUAAGCAGAUCAUAAUUGACACUUAAAGGAGGGUUCUAUAAUUAAACACUGUUCCCCAAAUUAAUAAGAACUCAAAAUUGGCGACAACAUUAUAAUAUGAUAACAAGACUUGAGGUAGAGUGAAUGAUUGCAGAUUUCACAAGCCAAAUGAACUCUGAUUUAUCAUUCAGACUUUGAUUUUCACAUUUCUAAUUCUAGUCAUUACCUUAUCAGGAAUUUAAUAAAUUCCCACUGAAUCUAAAAUAGGCACAAUGACUUUCUUUUGCAAUUAUGGUAGAGAUUUCAAAUCAUUUGAAAGUAUUAUGCCUUAUAUGUUUAGUAUUAAGCAUUUACAAAGAAUAAAUAUAUUUUACUGGUACAUAUGAUAUGUUAACUUAGAUGUAUAUUGUUUAGAUAUUUCUAAAAUAUAAAUAAAUCUUACAAUAUACCAUGCCCC